rnacentral:rRNA from 1 species
UGGGGAAUAUUGCACAAUGGGGGAAACCCUGAUGCAGCGACGCCGCGUGGGUGAAGAAGUGAUUCGUCACGUAAAGCCCUAUCAGCAGGGAAGAAAAUGACGGUACCUGAGUAAGAAGCCCCGGCUAACUACGUGCC